rnacentral:rRNA from 1 species
AUACAUAUGUCGCAAGCGUUAUCCGGAUUUAUUGGGCGUAAAGCGCGUCUAGGCGGUUUAGUAAGUCUGAUGUGAAAAUGCGGGGCUCAACCCCGUAUUGCGUUGGAAACUGCUAAACUAGAGUACUGGAGAGGUAGGCGGAACUACAAGUGUAGAGGUGAAAUUCGUAGAUAUUUGUAGGAAUGCCGAUGGGGAAGCCAGCCUACUGGACAGAUACUGACGCUAAAGCGCGAAAGCGUGGGUAGCAAACAGGAUUAGAUACCCUGGUAGUCCACGCCGUAAACGAUGAUUACUAGGUGUUGGGGGUCGAACCUCAGCGCCCAAGCUAACGCGAUAAGUAAUCCGCCUGGGGAGUACGUACGCAAGUAUGAAACUCAAAUGAAUUGACGGGG